UCACGGCAACUCCUCCAGCAUUUUGCCUUCCCCCCACACCACCCAGGUGCUGCUGAAGCCACAGCCUCUUGGGACGCCGCUGUUCCCGCCCCCCGAACGGGAGCGGGACGCACGGGCUGCCCCAGGACACAGCAGGGAAGGUGUGUUCCCCAGAGGAACCUUCAGAUUCCACAGCAUGAUCAGGCUGGUGCACAGCCACGGGGGUGCACACCCCUGCGAGGAGCCAGGCUGUUGGUGCUCGCUGCUGUCGCUGUUCGCAGCGCCUGGUGACCCGAAGAGCAUCCUUAGAAGUUCCUGAAUGCCUGAGCAGAACUGCUGGACCCUGCCAGAGGACUUCAUGGUAUAAGAAGGCUGCAGAAAGCCACCUCCUCACACAUGACAAGACCCCUUACAUAAUUUAGAGGAUAUACAUUAAAAAAAAAAGAUUGCCUGGAAAAUCAUAAGAUGCAGUGGCAGAGAAGAUUUCAGCCCAACUGGAAAACAGAGGCUCACCUGUAACUUUGGCCACUCACUAUUAAUUAUCAGCUCCACAACUUCUCCAAGGAGCUUUUCCAAUACCUGGGCCUUAGGCAAGCCUCGUGUUGGGUGAGGACACCAUGCCAGGGAACCACUGAGCAGCACAAGGGCAGAGCUCCAGGGGGAUUGGAAGCUGCUGUCUCCAGAAGCAGCAAGGCAGGAGCUAAUUAAAACCCUGUGUGGGAGCCUGCAUGAGGUGUAUGAGAGCACUGGGCACAACAGGCUUUGGAUGUGUGCCCACAUGCAGAAACACUCUAUUUAAAGCAGCAGCACUUUGGGGAAGCGAGGCAGCAUUCAAUUCCUCCUCUAAAAAAACCCUCCCUCCCUCAGCAUUCGAUAAGGAGUGGCCAUGGGUUUCCAGUGUUCUUGUCUGACUUAAAGGACUCUUAGAUUUCAGAGGUCACAGACCCAUCAGGGCACAAGAAACAGAAACAAAUAAAACCCAUUUAUCC